AUUGAACGCUGGCGGCAUGCCUUACACAUGCAAGUCGAACGGCAGCGGGGGAGAAGCUUGCUUCUCCUGCCGGCGAGUGGCGAACGGGUGAGUAAUACAUCGGAACGUGCCCUGUAGUGGGGGAUAACUAGUCGAAAGAUUAGCUAAUACCGCAUACGACCUGAGGGUGAAAGUGGGGGACCGCAAGGCCUCAUGCUAUAGGAGCGGCCGAUGUCUGAUUAGCUAGUUGGUGGGGUAAAGGCCUACCAAGGCGACGAUCAGUAGCUGGUCUGAGAGGACGAUCAGCCACACUGGGACUGAGACACGGCCCAGACUCCUACGGGAGGCAGCAGUGGGGAAUUUUGGACAAUGGGCGAAAGCCUGAUCAGCAAUGCCGCGUGUGUGAAGAAGGCCUUCGGGUUGUAAAGCACUUUUGUCCGGAAAGAAAUGGCUCUGGUUAAUACCUGGGGUCGAUGACGGUACCGGAAGAAUAAGGACCGGCUAACUACGUGCCAGCCGCCGCGGUAA
rnacentral:rRNA from 1 species